CCUCAAGAUCACGCGACAGGAAGCUCCGUGUGACCUGCCGACCGCCGCAUGCGCACUGGCUUCCAGAGGCCGGAAGUCCCGCCUACCCGCGCCACGCCGACUAGGGAGCCGGCCGCCGUUGCCAAUGGUAACGGGAGGCCGCCUGGACCCCCCGCGUUGGGGCGCGCUCUGGAGCUUCGGUGUCUGCGUUGCUCGGAAGGGGUGUCCGUCCCUUCCCGGGUUUGGUGACCCCCACGGUUGUGGCCUGGACGACUGGCUCCCCGACUUUCCAGUGGUUUCGGGGGACCUGGGCGUGGGCGGCGGGGACUGCUCCUCUCUCCAGCGGUGCCUGGAGAUAGGGACCCGCGUGAUGGGCCGCAUCUCCCGCGCUGCCACGUGCCGCGGUAGAGUUUUGAGUGUCCUCCCUCUGCCCCGUUUUUUUCCUUUUUUCCUCUUAUACUCCUGGCAAAAGUCUUUAAGGCUACCUGUAGCCUUAAAAAUUAAACCCAAAAGGAAUUGGUGAAGGAGCAGUGAAUUUCAAACUAUUAUGCUUAGAAUCAUCAGGGAAGCUUGGGGGGGCCUCAACCCCCCCCCCCCCAUUCUGAAUUCUGAAUCAGGGAGUGUACCUUGGGUGCUUGGAAUCUACAGUUUUUAUCACACACCAGUCGGGGACCCCUCUUGAAGAAACAUUGUCCUGAAUCAUGGUGGAAAUGCAAAUCAAAACCGCACCACCACCUACACCUAUCGGAGUGGCUAAACUCAGAAACAACAAACGUGGAGAAGAUGUGGAGAAAAAGAGCCCUCCUUCACUGUCGGUGGGGACGUAAACUGGUACAGUGGAAAACAGUAUGGAGGUUACUCAAAAAGCUAAAAACGGAACUCUAGGAGCCAGUAAUUCCACUACUGGGUAUUUUAACCAAAGGAAAUGAAAACACUAAUUCGAAAAGACAUAUGCACUCCUAUGCUCACUGCAGCAUUAUUCAUAACAGCCAAGAUCUAGAAGCAACUCAAGUGUCCACCAACAGAUGAAUGGACAAAUGGAGCCGGAGAGCUUGGUCCUUGCCUCGUCCAGUCGAAGAAUGAAUCUCGUGGACAAAGGAGAGUGUGUAAAGCUGCAGGAGUUUAUUAAGUAAAGAUAUAGAGAAGGCUGUCAGAAGUGAGAGGGGUCCGGACAGGGUUGCUGCUGAGGGCUUUUUUGGCUGGCCUUUUAUAGAAAACCUGAGUAAGGAGUUGAUGGCCUUGAGAUUUUGGUUUGAGUCUUGGUGAUUACGUGAUGGGAAGAUACUUCCUAGUAUUUUGGAGGCAGGGGCCAGAUGUACUUCCUUAUCUGUUUUUAUUGCCUUAUCUGUGUUGCAUCUCAGUGUCCUUGGGAUUUAUGGGAGCCCAACCCUGGGGCCUUUCCCUUAUCUUUCCCUGCCUAGCCUUAUCUGUCACUAAGUCAUAAAGAAGGUAGAGUGUGUGUAUACACACACAUACACACUGUGGAAUAUCAUGCAACCAUAAAAAUAAGAUUCUUGCCAUUUGGGACAACAUGGAUGGAGCCAGAGGGUAUCAUGUAUGCUAAGCAAAAUAAGCCACAAGAGAAAGACAAAUAUGGCAUGGUAUCGCUCAUGUGUGGAAUUAGGAAAAAAAAAAAGUCAAACUCAUAGAAACAGAAUAGAAAAGUGAUUGCCAGGGGCUUUGAGGUGGGGGAAAUAAGACGCUGGCAAAAAGGUACAAACUUUGAUUUACAAAAUGAAUAAGUUCCGAUGAUCUCGUGUAUAACAUGUGACUGUAGUUGAUAACACUGUAUUGGAUAAUUAAAAUUUAGGAGUAGAGCUUAUGUGUUCUCAUCAUUAAAAAAAGGAAAUUUAAAAAGGAAAAGUAAAUAUGUGAGGUGAUGAUGGGGAUGGCUGUGUUAAUGAACACAAAGAGGGAGUUUUUUUUUUUUUUUUAAGACAAGGGCUUUUUUGAAAAAAAAAAAAAAAGAUUUUAUUUAUUUGAGAGAGCACAACAGAGAGAGAGGGAGGACAAGCAGGGGGAGCAGCAGAAGUCAUGACCUGAGCUGAAGGCAGAGGCUUAACCAACUGAGCCACUCAGGCACCCUGAGGAGAAUCCUUUUACAACACAUAUAUAUCCAAUUAUCAUGUUGCAUACUAAAUAUAUUAGAAUUUUCUUUGUCAAUCUUCUGUCCAAAAAAAGCAGAAAGAAAGGAAGGAAGAAGGAAAGAAAGAGAAAGGAAAGAAAGAGACUGUCCUAGAAGAGGAUGAAACAGAUUAUUGCAAGUACCAGGGACUUGGGGCUGGGUGGGGGAAAGCCGUAGAGGGGGCGUUUCAGCAGGCUCAGAACACAGAAGCAUAAGCCAGACACACUGACAAGGGAAUGAAUAAGCUAAAAAGUGAGUUUGGCACGAUAAGAAGGACCACAGAGUGGGGGAGCUUCCUGAGGUUCUGGGAGACUGAAAACUCGGGAGAGACUAUUUGGCAUUACUUAGUCCUGACUCAUGAAUACAUAAGCCAACUUAGAUCAUGCUUUUGGGGAUUGUGUUGAUUUUGGUCACUACACAGUGCAACUUAAAAUGGGUCCCAAUUGGGACCUAAAUUUCUAGAAAGGGUUUUAUGGUCCAGGUUCUACCUGCUUCAUUUAUGGAUGGGGAGAUUGGGAGCCAAGGUCAGGUGUCCGGAUCCUCAGAGGACUGGGUGGAGGCAUCUGAAGUUGGAGUCCAUGAUGAAACUAGCACAAAUAUGUUUUCAGGAGAAAAACCAGAAAGCAGGUGUGAACUCUUCUGGUACAGGGGGCGGUAAAUCCUAUUCUGGUUUUGAGAAUUUCAUUUUUCUUUUCAUUUCUUGUCACAUUCAUUUUAAUUCAACAUAAAGCAUAUACCACAUUAUGUUCCUGGCUUAGGAGUUGUCCCAAGAAGUGAGCUCAGUGCUUUAAAAAGUAAACGUGAAACUUCCAUUGCUAGAACAAGGUGGUAGCAGAUACAUCCUGUACAAUUUAUGAAGGGAUGAUGGCUUUAGAAAAAGAGGCACAGCGAUGAACACACGUUUGUUAAGUUAAAUGGCCAAUAUGGUAAAAUGAAAAUAAUCUAAGUAAGUUUUAAUUCAGACAAAAUAAGAGCUAGGAGGAAACAGUAUUUUCAGAUGAGGAAAGACAGUUCAGAAAAGUAAAGGGUCUUGCCUAGUAACAGAGGCAGCAGAGCCAGGUCUGGAAUCCAAAGCUCAUGAUCGCUGGUAAGAGUUUCUCAACCAUUUAAUCCUACCCAAAUAUAGGUGCCAGGGCUUUCUCUUUCAAUUUUAUCCCCACUUCUGUGAAUGUAAGGCCCCUUGCCUUCUGCUUAGGGGAGUUUAUGAAUGUCCCAUGGCUGUUGAAAAGUGUGGGGAAAAGGUGUAGAUUUCCCGUUUACCUGAGGCUUGGCAAAGUCUUGGGGACACAGUGAGGAAUCCUUCACUUAAAUGAUCAAGGGAUGAUAUUAUGCAUGCAGUUGCCCAUGGAAGGACCUUGAGCCUGAGGGACAAGAAGAACAGUAGGCAGGGUGCUCCUUGAGCACCCCCAAGGCAUAGAAGAAUGUUCUGGAGGCACUGGCUUGGCUGCUGUUUUCACCAUUGUCUCCCAGUGGCACCUGGGCAGAAUUUCUGUCUCCCUGCAAGGCCCAUAGGUCAGGUUCUCAAUGCCCACUCCCCGCAACCUGACCCCCUCCAAGCUCAGGCAAAUGUCCACUUUAUCAUUGUCAUCUUUCUAUUGGGUGUGUUGAGUUUGAUAACGGUUGCCAUUGCUUGGUGCCUACUCUGGGCUAGUCAUACUCCAGUGCAGUAGUUAAUCUUCACAGUCUUGGGCUCUUAGUACAGUGGACAUUCAUGAGUUCACGCAGAGGGGAGGUCACUUUACUGGGUGCCGUGUUUGCGAGAUAAAGAAUAAGUUUCAUAACCACUUCUAUGACAUUUAGGUAAAGUUGUUCAUCAGUGUGCAUAGCUAAGGAAACUUAAGUCUCUUUUCCCCACAGGCAAACUCCUGUCUGGGCUUGCUAAGUGUUAUUAAUGCCGGGGGACAAAGAGUGUGGGUAGAGAAUGCAAAUCUGUCAUUCAUGAGUAUGUUUGUGGCUUGGGGAUUUUUCGAGUUGUUCUGCAAAGCUGCAUCAGGAUCUCUGCUUGUAUCUACAUAAGAAGGCUCUGUCUGUGUGUUGAGAGACUGUCCAUAUGCUCAACAUGUCUUGCAAAGACUUAGAAUUUACAAUAUUGUGAAGAUCUGCUUCUUUAAAAUGGAUAGGAGGUUGAUUUACUUUGUCAUCAUUGAGAUGAACCCACUGACUAUGAGCCUCCAGGAAGCUCUCUGAGAAGUAGGGAUGCAGGUGGAAAUAUUGUUCCUUGUAAAGACAAUUUCCAGUGCAAGUGGAACACAUGAGCGAUUUUGGAAAUGGACCACAGAGCCAGAUGGAGUUCUCCGGGGAUGAGGGGUCUGUGUGGCGCAGGGAAGGCCAGGUUCUCAUCUGGUCUCAUAAAUGCCAGCACAGCAUGGAGACCUAGAGACUCGGCUCAAGGGGUUUACCUACUAAAUCUGAAGUAGCGGAGCUAGUUAACCACAUGCAAACCGGUUUCAUUCUUUUCCCACCUUAAUGUUAAAAAUCACCUUUUAUUCUGCUGCUGAGACAGAUUCACAGCUCUGUUUGUCUCUCCUUUAGGCGGAUUUCUUCUGGGUCUUUUUACUGGGCACUGUUAUUAGAAAGAAAAGGAACUCUAUUUAGCACAGGGCCCAAGCACGCUGGCCUGGCAGGAGUGUGCCAAGGCUGGAGAGGCAGACGCCACUUCUGGGAAACUAGAGAGGACCCGAGGGGAGCAUUUAUUCCAAACCACUUAAUCUCAGUACAGAUACCGCUUGUGGGUAUUACAGUUAUUUUGAAAGAAUGCAAAGAAGCAAAAAAAGGGGAAAAAAAAGAAAAAAGAAAAAAGAAAAAAGAAAAAAACACCCUUCAGAGAUCAGACCCUCAGAGGGCAAAAGUUCAAGGGAGGAUUUAUUUUAAUGUUCAAAGGGAAGAUGGAUGGUGAGUGAAAUCGAGAGCACUGAUAAAAACGUGAAAGCUCAGAAAGCCCAGAAGUGCCGUUUGGUUUGCUAAGUGUUUGUUUCGCCCGAGCCAGAAGCUAGUCAGGCAGAUCUGCCCGAUUCCUCAAAGGUUUUUCUAACUGGCUGCUAGUCUCAGGUAAAAGCCAUAUACUGCAGCCUCAGAAGCGUGCAUGUGCAUGUGUGCAUGUGAUGCCUGGUUCUUUGUAGAUACAAGGAACAGAAUCAUAGAUGCGUAGGACCUUGGGUGGUGAGCACUAGUGGCAUUUUAUUAUAAGCUAAAGCCUACAGCCGAUUUUAGGCCCACCACUUUCUGAGGCUUCCCCGAUUAUCUCUCUCUAACCGGAAGGAUUUACCCACCCCUUAUCUAGGAAAGACAUUUUGCAGAAGCUGAAAGGAGUAAGGGACAUUCACGUCAUUUAUUAUGAGCCUGUCUCAGGGACAGCUGCUGGCUAAAACAGCGACACGACCUGCCACUGCCAAAGCAUUUCAUCUCCCAGCUGGUGGUUAUUAUGAUCAUCGUUGUUUUGUGAAGCUCAUAUCCAGGGAAAAUAUAAAAAUUAUAUAUGGCCAGCUAGCUAGGGGCUUUUGGACGCCAACUUCAUUUAUCUGUUCAUCAUAUGUAUUUUGAGACUCAAUAUAUACAUCAGGCAAACCUUAGGCUCUGAGGUCACAUAAGGAAAAUAGAUACGGUCUCUGCUCUUGGGCAGUAAAGUGGGUCUUAGCACUGUGUGACUUGGUGCGAAAAUUUUGCUCCUCUGCUGGAGAAACUUGCAGGUUAAUUGCAAGCUCUGCGGCCUCCAUUCGGAGAGGCUAGGACAUGAGCAACAGCCCGGGAGAUCGUCUCAGUCGCUGCUGAAGGGUAAUAAAGCAUGGCCAUGCACACGGUGAGGCUCUGGGAUGCUUGACUUCUUUUCAGGUGGCUCUGCUCCCCAGGAGGGACCCAGGACAAAAUGAAAAGGCAGACCAUGCUGGCCAUCGAGAAGAGAGGGUUCCACAAUACACCCUCCCAACAGUUAUUUUAACAACAAUAACAACAACAACACUUGGUGCCCUGUUUCUUGUGCAAACUGUGGUGGGGAAACCAUAACUUGGUGAGGAUGGGCUCUCAUCCUCUUGUUUCUACCAUCUGUUAGGUGAGAAAGAAACAGCCUAGAGUGGGUGCAGCUAAGAAAAAAUUUAGUGACUAUUGUGGCUUGGACAUAUCUUAAAGUAUGGUCAGUCAACUAGUUCUUGAAUAUAUCUCUGAGCUGAAUUAUUAACAACAUAUGUCUAAGUGAACAUAAUAGGUACAGGCUUGCAGCCCUCCUUCAGGUACACAUUUGGGAUUUUCCCAGAUCUUGAGGAGGAGGAGAGAACAUAAAUGUGAAUUAAAAUGAUAACAAUAAUUUAUUAGAUUAUCUUGCCACUCUUCUCUUAGAAAGUAGCGCUUCCUCUUUCCAGAAUAUGUGAAGGUUAUAUUUGGAACCACCCUUGUUUUGAAACUUUGUUUUAAAUUAAGCUUAGUUUGGGCUGGGUUGGGUUCUGAUGAGAAUAGUCUUAUCACAAGAGCCAAGAAUAGUUCCAUAAAAAACCCUCAGUAAAUACAUGAAAAUUCAUGAGUCCGUAAUGAUACUCAGGAGAGAGCCAGAAGAAACUCAUUUGAGGUAGCUAGUACUGACUCCUUAUUUGGAAGCUAUGUAAUUGAAGGGGAAAUAGGUUUAAUGUCUUUCCAAUAGGAACUCUAUGUCAGGGUAACCAAACAGCUCCAGUUGACAAGAUACAACUAUUUUACAGAAGAAUGCCAGCUAGAUGUAGAAGGAUAGGCGUAGAAAAAUCAUAAUCUUGCCAUUCCAAUGAGAAUGUAGAUCCAAGAAAGGACUAUCAGCUUGUGGAGGGACAUUUGGUAGAUAGUGGAUGGGACCUGCACCAUUUACGUUGAUCCAAAGCAACACCACAGUGAUGAGGUUCUGGUCAUCAGGAGAAAAAGUAAUCAUACAACGGAUGGCUCAGAUUGCCAUCACCCUAACUAAUGGUAGAUCUAGCAUCAGAAAUGGUGGGACAACCCGAUAGUACAUGUUCUCCUGGUAUCGUGCAUUCUGAGGUCACAGAACCCUUGGGAUGCAAUCUAGCCAACGAUAUUCACUUGGGGUCUAAUCAUCCUGUAAAUGUAAUUUCUGGGAGAUACAAAGGAGAGAGGAAGAAGCUAAAUGACACCAUGGGUUAAGCAAGUGGGGGUGGGGGACUUCUAGGCCGGCCCACUGGCUACAGUAAGAAGAUUCCACAAAGAUACUAGUGUCUAGAUUAAAGGACGCUGAGGACAUGUAGCAAGCAGGUGGAAUGCGUGGUUUGAGACUGGUUCCUGGCAUGAACAAAAAGGCUAUGAAAGACAUUUAGGGGGAUAUUUGGGGGAAUUUGAAUUUAUAGACUAUUAGAGUAUGAUUAUUAAUUUUAGGGGUGAUAGUGUUUUUUUUUUUUACAUAAGCAAGCGUUACUAAUUGAUUAGAAAUGCAUUUUGAAAUAUUUAGGAGGUCAUGUCAUGAUGUCCCUAAUUUAUUCUUUACACACACACUGUCCUACACAUACACAGACUCUGAACCAACCAUACUUGUCAAAGUCUGGCAAGUAAUGUGUAAGUUGCUAUCAAAAAGUGAGUAAAAAAUGUCACAUUUUCUAAAGAUCGAAGUCUUUAAAGUGGGUAACACAAAAAAAGACUACCAUGAUUAUUUGUUCAAAAUAAUGAGGAAGCCUCUCUCUGUGUGUCUCUCAUAAACAAAUAAAUAAAAUCUUUAAAAAAAAAUGAGGAAGGCAUUAUCAUAAGCAGAUAAGUAAGAAAAAACAUUUAAGAACUGAUAACUAAAUUAUUAGUACUUCUCCAGAACCUAAUUUCCACUGGGUGCAAUUAAUGAUUUUUAUAACUUGUAUUCACUUAGUGCUACUCAAAAUCUUCAUCUACUAGUGAGAGUUGAUCAGUGGUAAGGGAAUGUUUGGAUAAAUUAUAGCAUGCCCGUAUUGGAAAUAUUGUGAAGUCCUUAACAAUUAAGAUUCAGAUUCAAUUUAACGCUUGGAAUGAUAUUUAAUAACAUGAACACACGCUUACAGUACAAUGGGAAGUGCAGGAGAUACCACUAUAUUCCAAAACGGUCACAAUUUUAUGCAGGGGUAAUGAUUCAGCCCCCAAUUUCUGUAAUUGCUGAAAGGGGGUAAAGAGGUGGCAUCUCGUGUAGUUGUAGUAACACCGUGAUUGUCACAAGAAAAUAAGAGGAAAAAAACACCCACAGAGGAGACCGUAAAAAAAACAAAAAAAAAAAACAAAAAAAAACCUGUUGCGCUCACACGGCAUGGAUUGUCUGUGAGCAUUGUUGUCUGUUUUAAGCAAAAGUGAGGUGUCUCACCACAUGGGGCAGAUGUGGUGAAUUUUCUGUCAUGAGAAAAAGAACCCCCUAAUUUUACUCAUCUCCAAAACUGAAAGUUGAAGAGUUGAAGCCCUUUUGCCCUUCAGUACAAUUAAACUCAAGAGAGCCUCGUUGCUGCCAGGCACAGGCCCAGAUGGCGGACUAGGAAAAGCCAGUGUUGCCCAGGCAAACACAGGAGAAGCAUGCACACGACACAAGGCAGAGGUGUUUAAAUGUACGGUCAACCAUUACAUUGUUCCCGAACAUUCUCUCACUCUCCAGGAGGGCGGCCAAGCCUGUGGUGCUGCCAGGAGAUCGGGUCAACCGCGAGAAAUGGACUCCUUUGUCAUGGGCAGCCUUCCUGCCCUCUGCUCGGGAGAAGAAAAAGUGUUACAUGCCUUUACGAUUUUGAGGAGACCUGCCCUUCCAUGGGAUGGGGAAAUAAAAGUCUGACAAUGGGAAGCAAACCCCACCAGUCCCAAUGAUUGAAGUAGGAUUCUCCCCAACAACUCACGAGGUGGAGGUAGGGCCACGGGCGCUGACGACAGAAGACCUCUAGGCUUCGGUGUGCAUCCAGGGGAGCCAGAGCCAGAGCCAGAGCCAGAGCCAGAGCAACAGAUCUCACAGAAUCUCACCUACACACCCACACGCACGUAUGUAUGAGGAACUAGGACCGGAGUGGAACAAAAGGGACCUUCACCCUUUCUUACUCUCUAUAUUUCUGGAUUAAAAUUCUUUUUCUCCUUU